AAUGAAUUGAUUGCUUUGAAAUCGCGAUAGCUGAGAUCGGAAUCUCGCCCAAAAUGACUCAUCCUCUGAACUUCUGACCAAGCAGUUUACAUUCUUCGUGGAAGUUGUAGCUGUAGACAUCUAACAGCCACAUGAGACAAACGAUGGAGAAGAUACUAGCUGUGGCAACCUAUUAAGUCCGGGGCAAGAAGCUAUCUGGAUUUUUAUUGGAUUUACAUUUACCCUUGGUGUCAGAAGUGCGAGAGUUUCAUUCGAGAUCCGCGGCUUGCUUCUGCCAACGACAAAUCACAACCACGGUGCCCACAACUGCCCCGACGCUUUCCCGAUCCGUGGUGGUUGCUAUUGUGUGUGCAUGUGUUGUGCAGUGCAGUGGCACUGACUCUGUCUCUGUUGAAUGGACAUGUGCUGCACUGCCUACAGCAUUUUGUGUGGAUUUAUAGUACUCUGAAUGCGAGAUCUCCUCUCUAGCGGCAUGUUUGUGAACUGAACCUAUUUUAAAAUUAUGUUAGGGGCCUACAUCUCUAAGACUUAAACUAAGUUAAAGUUUAAUGCUCGGACUGUCAAAUCUGAUCAUGUCAAUUGUCAUUACCAUAAAAUUUUUCAAGUUGUGAAUGUGAUACUAAUAAUUACUAGGUGUGGAAUUGAUAUAAUUUCCACACAGCCACAGAGACAAGUUUGUAAUCAAUUCAUUGUUGAAGAGGUCUAUCUGUGAACCUUAACAGGCUUAGUUGGAUAGCUGAUAGACCUAUUAGUAAUUACUUCUAGUUCUUCUUGAUGAGGACACAUGUGGAAAGAUGUCGACCAUUGCAUCUUUAGAGGAGUUUAUGGGACACCCACUUGUUGUUUGGGUGCAGAGUUUCAAAGAUGGGAACCCAUUGGAUUAUAUGGAGCUGGUGGAUGGAGUGCUACUUAAUGAUGCCAUGACUCAGAUUGACACCAGACCGUCAUCAUCCCUAAGGGUCAACGGGGAGGUCAACGGUGAUAUCAAUCUACGCAUACAGAAUCUGGAUUCCUUGAUGAAGAAAAUCAAGUCAUUUUAUCUGGUAAGUCGCACCUUUUUCUCUAAUGUAUCAAAAUCCUUUCUCUUUCAUGUAGAUUGAAUGAGCCGAUUGUUUUAGGUUUAAUUUCAUGUCAGACUUUUAUAGUCAUGUAUCGCUGAAAGUAGAAUAAGAAAAAAAAUCCUGUUAAUCUUUUUGUCCAUAUAAAUUGCUAAAAAAAUUGAAACUCUGUAAUGUACAUGUACCAAAUCAAUCAGAGAAAUAAACAAAUUUUCUGGACUUUAAAACACAAAAAUUCUCACCAUUUUUCUUUAUAAGUAUUUCUUAUUGGUACAGUCAGCCCUGAUGGUAUCCUGUCACUUAAUCAGAAGUUUAAGGUUUUGACUAUUCUGAAAUGAACAAAAUAAAUCUGUAUCUUCUGAAGGCUGAUUUUGAUUGUUCAACAUGCCAUACGUACAUGCAGACCUAUAUCUACAUGUAUAUCUGUACUAUUAUACCCUUUUUACACAGGAUUUUCUUAACCCCGGACUAUCGCUAACCCCGUACUAUCCUUAACCCCGUACUAUUAUUUUUCCUUUUCACACAUGCCAAAUUGUUAUCGCUAACCCCGGAUAAGGAAUGCUUGCUUUUCACACACGAAACUCGCUAACCCCGGACUAGUGGUUUUUGUCGAUCAUUCGUAGUACAAGUACUUCACUCGUACCUUUUUACACACGCUAAAAUUUCCUUAACCCCGUACUAUAGGUGGGGCUAAAUUGCCAUUUAGCCCCACCUAUAGUACGGGGUUAAGCUUAGCCCACUUUCGUUUUACACUAGCGAUCUUAACCCCGUACUAUCGCUCUUAGCACCGCAAUUGCUGGGAUAACCCUGCUUUUUUGCAGGGCCAAAUAAUCCCGUACUAAAGGUGGGGUUAGCCCACUUUGCAAAAAUGCUGUGUAAAAAGAAAGUGGGCUAAGCUUAACCCCGUACUAUAGGUGGGGCUAAAUGGCAAUUUAGCCCCACCUAUAGUACAGGGUUAAGGAAAUUUUAGCGUGUGUAAAAAGGGUAGAAGUGUAAGAAUUAAACUGUAUGAAAAUUUUCCUUUG